rnacentral:lncRNA from 1 species
CGUGCAUUAUCAUGCUGAAACAUGAGGUGAUGGCGGGGGAUGAAUGGCACGACAAUGGUCCUCAGGAUCUCAUCACGGUAUUUCUGUUCAUUGAAAUUGCGGUUGAUAAAAUGCUAUUGUGUUCAUUGUCCGUAGCAUAUGACUGCCCAUACCAUAACCCCACUGCCACCAUGGGGAACUCUGUUCAGCAAUCCGCUCGUGCAGAAAGUCUUCAGUUUUUCAAACCCCCAGUUUCAUCAGGUGUCUUGAUGACUGGUCUCAGACGAUCCCCCAGUUUCAUCAGCUGUCUUGAUGACUGGUCUCAGACCAUCCCCCAGUUUCAUCAGCUGUCUGGAUGACUGGUCUCAGACCAUCCCCCAGUUUCAUCAGCUGUCUGGAUGACUGGUCUCAGACCAUCCCCCAG